rnacentral:tRNA from 1 species
UAUGGCUCAAAUAGUAGAGCACCUGCCUAACAAGCAUUAGGCCCUGAGUUCAAACCUCAGUA